rnacentral:rRNA from 1 species
AGUGGCAGACGGGUGAGUAACGCGUGGGAACGUGCCUUUCGGUUCGGAAUAACCCAGGGAAACUUGGGCUAAUACCGGAUACGCCCUUCGGGGGAAAGAUUCAUCGCCGAAAGAUCGGCCCGCGUCGGAUUAGCUAGUUGGUGGGGUAAUAGCCUACCAAGGCGACGAUCCGUAGCUGGUCUGAGAGGAUGACCAGCCACACUGGGACUGAGACACGGCCCAGACUCCUACGGGAGGCAACAGUGGGGAAUAUUGGACAAUGGGGCGAAAGCUUGAUCCAGCCAUGCCAGCGUGGGGUACGAAAGCCCCAGGGGUUGUAAACCCCGUUCAACGAGGAGUCAAGCGGCGGU